rnacentral:misc_RNA from 1 species
UCCGUCUUACAACGGCAGUCUCGCUAGAGUACUCGGCAUUACCCGUGAGCAACUAACGAUAGGGGUUGCGCUCGUUAGAGGACUUAACCCGACACUUCACAGCACGAGCUGACGACAGCCAUGCACCACCUGUACACCUGCCCCGAAGGGCUGCCGUAUUUCUGCGACAUUCAGGUGCAUGUCAAGCCCUGGUAAGGUUCUUCGCGUUGCGUCGAAUUGAACCACAUGCUCCGCUGCUUGUGCGGGUCCCCGUCAAUUCCUUUGAGUUUUAGCCUUGCGGCCGUACUCCCCAGGCGGGGCACUUAGUGCGUUAGCUACGGCACGGGAGGAGUCGACACCUCCCACACCUAGUGCCCAUCGUUUACGGCGUGGACUAC